rnacentral:sRNA from 1 species
AUUCAUCAUCUCCACCUGUCAAAACAAAACAAGAAUGUAAUUUUCUUAUUAGUCUAGAUAUUUGCUGAGAUUGAUGUUCUUAGUGUCAAAUUUUGUUCUUACUACACUAAAGAAGUGGAAAAUGACAGAAAAUAAAACAAAAAUAGUACCGACAAAAGACAAAGAUGAUCUCAUACCUUAUAUUUUGAAAAGCUUGA